rnacentral:lncRNA from 10 species
AGACAGAGUCCAGCAGAGAGAGCUGAGUCCAAAAAGAAAGGAGAGGACAGAACCCAUUCCAGGUCAACAAGAGGAGCUUAGUACUCCACACAAUGACUUAGGAACCUGUGCUGGUGGUGGCACUGGCAUCUUACAGCUGCUCCAUCUGGAGAAGGUUCCAGGUGAUUCCAGCUCUUCAUAUAGCUGCUGCCUCACAGAAUUAGGAUGAGUAGUGGGAAGAACUGAGUGUGGGAAUGAAGCAGAUGGGACAGAGUCCAAGAACCCAAAAGCAAGGAGGAAGAGACAGUACCGGGGCAUGAAUAGCCUUGGAGGGUUCCUGACGCCAGCCUGCAGUUCCUGGAGCUCCAGCACCUCAUCCACAACAUUUGCGAAUGGACAAGGCAGGAGUGAGGAAGAAAGGUUUCAUCUUCAGAGAAGAGGUAUCAGUAGUGUAGGGGUGAAGGUGAUGGAAGAAACGGUUGUGGAACAAAAGGAAUAGAAAGCUCCCGGCAAGGAUGGAGGCAGCACUGUUUGUUGGACAACUGAAUUGGCCCAGGUGGCCCCUGCACUCUCAGGUACCUGAGACUCCACCCGCCUUGCCUUACUGUCCACAUUUACUCAUGGUGACAACCCCCGCCCCCAAAUUUCAUUUGAAUGACAUGCGCAGGUGCAUUUGCACUGAGAUCUUUAUUCUAGGCCUGGGGCCUUGGAGCAGUGGGCAAUUGCAACACAGGACAGAGAAGAGAGUAUUGUUUGUGUCCCUGUGAUCAGACACAUGCACACACUACACACACACACACACACACACACACACACACACACACAAGGACACGGGCACAGACAUGGGUAGUAAUGAGACCUAUUAAGUAUUUUCCCCUCCAGUAGGCAGAUGUGCAUGAUACAUAAAUUACAAAUAAGAGGAACCUUGUGAACACAUUUCAAAGGCAAGAUGAGUGAAUAUCGGUGACUUGUGGUUUUCAUGUAUUUUAUAAUUCAGUUCUUGGUAUAAAAUAUAUUUUAUAUUCCAACCUCGUAUACACCUAUACACUCUUGAAAAAUCGAAAGAAGAGUUUCACUGAAGAAAACUUAAUUUCACAAGGUGUGAUACUCUCUGAUGUUUUAUUUUACAUCAUAUACUAGUUCAAUUAAAAAAUAAAUUCAUUAAGCUCAUCAGAAUUGACUGUGCCUGCAAUUUCAAAAAUG